rnacentral:rRNA from 1 species
AUUGAACGCUGGCGGCAGGCCUAACACAUGCAAGUCGAACGAGUGGCGGACGGGUGAGUAAUGUCUGGGAAACUGCCUGAUGGAGGGGGAUAACUACUGGAAACGGUAGCUAAUACCGCAUACCAUCGGAUGUGCCCAGAUGGGAUUAGCUUGUUGGUGGGGUAACGGCUCACCAAGGCGACGCUCCCUAGCUGGUCUGAGAGGAUGACCAGCCACACUGGAACUGAGAGACGGGCCAGAGUCCUACGGGAGGCAGCAGUGGGGAAUAUUGCACAAUGGGCGCAAGCCUGAUGCAGCCAUGCCGCGUGUAUGAAGAAGGCCUUCGGGUUGUAAAGUACUUUCGACAGGGACGCGGUACCGGUAUAAGAAGCACCGGCUAACUACGUGCCAGCAGCCGCGGUAAUAC